rnacentral:rRNA from 1 species
UACGUAGGGUGCUAGCGUUGUUCGGAAUCAUUGGGCGUAAAGCGCGUGUAGGCGGUUAGUUAAGUCGGGUGUGAAAUCCCUGGGCUCAACCGAGGAAGUGCAUCCGAAACUAACUAGCUAGAGAAUGGUAGAGGAAGGUGGAAUUCCGUGUGUAGAGGUGAAAUUCGUAGAUAUACGGAGGAAUACCGGUGGCGAAGGCGGCCUUCUGGACCAUUUCUGGACGCUGAGACGCGAAAGCGUGGGGAGCAAACAGG